UACGUAGGGUGCGAGCGUUGUCCGGAAUUAUUGGGCGUAAAGGGCUCGUAGGCGGUUUGUCACGUCGGGAGUGAAAACUCGGGGCUUAACUCCGAGCCUGCUUCCGAUACGGGCUGACUAGAGGUAUGCAGGGGAGAACGGAAUUCCUGGUGUAGCGGUGAAAUGCGCAGAUAUCAGGAGGAACACCGGUGGCGAAGGCGGUUCUCUGGGCAUUACCUGACGCUGAGGAGCGAAAGUGUGGGGAGCGAACAGG
rnacentral:rRNA from 1 species